CUGAAGAAUGCGAUGAUUAAUGACACUGGAACAUACGAGUGUCGUGUUCAGAGACAGAGAGAAAGUUUAAGUCUCAUCACCAGUGUCUACCUGCAUGUUGUUCCUCCAGCACAUGGUGAUUUUACAAUCUCGGGUAGGAUCCUGUCUGUCCGAAGUCCAAGUCCAAGUUCCGGUGGUGGGCAACUUCUAUUAGUUCCUAACGACUGAAAGUGAUCAGUGUGUUGCAGGAAAAUGCAACAAAAAGGUAUCAAAAAUACAACAAAGGUGCACAGUAGUUGGGAGUUCACCAUCAACACCUUUCACAAAGCACUGAGCCAAAUAGAGACCAGGAAGAGCUAUGUUAGGAUGCUCUUCGUGGACUACAGCUCAGCCUUCAACACCAUAAUCUCAGGCAUCCUCAACACCAAACUGGACCAUAAUAUCAAUCGGCUGGCGUGGGAAUGCAUUGGUGCUCUUCUGGAAAGGCUGGAGGAGGUGGCCGGGUCUGGGCUUCUCUGCUAAAGCUGCUCCCCCCGCACCCCAGCCCAUGAUAAGUGGAAGAAAAUGGAUGGAUUCUUGGAAUCUGUCACCACCUUCACGGGCGAUCGUGGCUCAAGAGUUGGGAGUUCGCCUUGUAAUCGGAAGGUUGCCGGUUCGAGCCCCGGCUUGGACAGUCUCGGUUGUUGUGUCCUUGGGCAAGUCACCCGUUGCCUACUGGUGGUGGUCAGAGGGCCCGGUGGCGCCAGAGUUUGGCAACCUCACCUCUGUCAGUGCGCCCCAGGGUGGCUGUGGCUACAAUGUAGCUUGCCAUCACCAGUGUGUGAAUGUGUGGAUGACUGGAUGUGUGAAGCGCUUUGGGGUCCUUAGGUAAAGUAAAGCGCUAUACAAAAUACAGGCCAUUUUUACCUUCAGGUUUCUAGGCACCCAUGACUCCACUGAUCUCACCUGGACUUAUAACACCAACUCCCAAGGUCCAGCAGCAACUGCACUUCCCCUUUGUCCUGAGAAAGAAUAACCUGGACCAGAAGCUGCUGCUGGUCUUCUACUGCUCCUCAGUGGAGAGUGUGUUCUCCUGCUGCCUGGGUGUUUGCCUCACAGGGCCACAACUGAGAACAGGGCUGCACUGAGGGUAAUUACCACUGCCCGUAAAUCACUGGCUCCCCUCUGAAACCCCUGGAGAUCAUCAUUAGAUCCUCCUGUCUCAGGAAGACCAGGACCACCACAGGUGACCCUUUGUUCCCCUCCCACCACCUGUUUGACCCGCUGCCCUCUGGUUGACCCCUCAGGUCUAUCAAGUCCCACACCUCCAGACUCACUGACAGCUUCUUCCCCUCGGCCAUUUGCACUGUUAACAAACACUGUCCCUCCACAUCCCGCUCUUGCAGACCCAUAUCACCAAUCUGAGCCACGGUCUGAGGACCCCCAUCACUCAGGCCACACACACAUGAACUCAACUCAGACCAAGUCUUUUCUUUGCACUACUUUCAAGCACUUUGUUGCAACUAUUUUGUUCUCUAAUAUGUGCCUUUCUCUUGUUGUUAUAGAUAUUUCUCCUGUUUGCUAUUUAUUCCUGCUCUCUGCUAUUUCUACUUUAUUCCAGCACAUUUGGUCAAUCAGGAUGGAAAGUCGGUCUGUCAGUUUCUGCUGUGCUUCUUCUUCUUGUUGCUGUUGUUGGAUUUUUGAUCUACAGAAAACAUAAACAGCCAUAGAGGCAGGAU